rnacentral:rRNA from 1 species
GAACGUACGCUGGCGGCACGCCUAACACAUGCAUGUCGAACGAAGUAGCAAUACUUAGUGGCAGACGGGUGAGUAACAUGUAGGUAUCUGCCCUUUGGCCUGGAAUAACACGAGGAAACUUGUGCUAAUACCGGAUAAGUCUUUACAGAGAAAGCUUUAUGCACCAUUGGAUGAGCCUGCACUUGAUUAGUUUGUUGGUGGGGUAAUGGCCUACCAAGACUGUGAUCAAUAGCUGAUUUGAGAGGAUGAUCAGCCACAUUGGGACUGAGACACGGCCCAAACUCCUACGGGAGGCAGCAGUGGGGAAUCUUGCACAAUGGAGGAAACUCUGAUGCAGCGAUGCCGCGUGAGUGAAGAAGGCCUUUGGGUUGUAAAGCUCUUUCGUCGGGGAAGAAAAUGACUGUACCCGAAUAAGAAGGUCCGGCUAACUUCGUGCCAGCAGCCGCGGUAAUACGAAGGGACCUAGCGUAGUUCGGAAUUACUGGGCUUAAAGAGUUCGUAGGUGGUUGAAAAAGUUAGUGGUGAAAUCCCAGAGCUUAACUCUGGAACUGCCAUUAAAACUUUUCAGCUAGAGUAUGAUAGAGGAAAGCAGAAUUUCUAGUGUAGAGGUGAAAUUCGUAGAUAUUAGAAAGAAUACCGAUUGCGAAGGCAGCUUUCUGGAUCAUUACUGACACUGAGGAACGAAAGCAUGGGUAGCGAAGAGGAUUAGAUACCCUCGUAGUCCAUGCCGUAAACGAUGUGUGUUAGACGUUGGAAAUUUAUUUUCAGUGUCGCAGGGAAACCGAUAAACACACCGCCUGGGGAGUACGACCGCAAGGUUAAAACUCAAAUGAAUUGACGGGGACCCGCACAAGUAGUGGAGCAUGUGGUUUAAUUCGAAGAUACGCGCAGAACCUUACCAACACUUGACAUGUUCGUCGCGACUCUAAGAGAUUAGAGUUUUCGGUUCGGCCGGACGAAACACAGGUGCUGCAUGGCUGUCGUCAGCUCGUGUCGUGAGAUGUUGGGUUAAGUCCCGCAACGAGCGCAACCCUCACUUUUAGUUGCCAUCAUUAAGUUGGGCACUCUGAAAGAACUGCCAGUGAUAAGCUGGAGGAAGGUGGGGAUGACGUCAAGUCCUCAUGGCCCUUACGUGUUGGGCUACACACGUGCUACAAUGGUAUCUACAACAGGAAGCAAAACUGCGAAGUUAAGCAAAUCCCUAAAAGAUACCUCAGUUCGGAUUGCACUCUGCAACUCGAGUGCAUGAAGCUGGAAUUACUAGUAAUCGUGGAUCAGCGUGCCACGGUGAAUGCGUUCCCGGGUCUUGCACUCACCGCCCGUCAA